CACGUAGGGUGCAAGCGUUGUCCGGAUUUAUUGGGCGUAAAGAGCGUGUAGGCGGCCAGGUAGGUCCGCUGUGAAAACUCGAGGCUCAACCUCGAGAUGUCGGCGGAAACCAUCUGGCUAGAGUCCGGAAGAGGAAAGUGGAAUUCCCGGUGUAGCGGUGAAAUGCGCAGAUAUCGGGAAGAACACCCGUGGCGAAGGCGGCUUUCUGGGACGGUACUGACGCUGAGACGCGAAAGCGUGGGGAGCGAACAGG
rnacentral:rRNA from 1 species